rnacentral:rRNA from 1 species
AGCUUGCUUGGUGGAUCAGUGGCGAACGGGUGAGUAACACGUGAGCAACCUGCCCUGGACUCUGGGAUAAGCGCUGGAAACGGCGUCUAAUACUGGAUAUGAGCCCCUAUCGCAUGGUGGGGGUUGGAAAGAUUUUUUGGUCUGGGAUGGGCUCGCGGCCUAUCAGCUUGUUGGUGAGGUAAUGGCUCACCAAGGCGUCGACGGGUAGCCGGCCUGAGAGGGUGACCGGCCACACUGGGACUGAGACACGGCCCAGACUCCUACGGGAGGCAGCAGUGGGGAAUAUUGCACAAUGGGCGAAAGCCUGAUGCAGCAACGCCGCGUGAGGGAUGACGGCCUUCGGGUUGUAAACCUCUUUUAGCAGGGAAGAAGCGAAAGUGACGGUACCUGCAGAAAAAGCGCCGGCUAACUACGUGCCAGCAGCCGCGGUAAUACGUAGGGCGCAAGCGUUAUCCGGAAUUAUUGGGCGUAAAGAGCUCGUAGGCGGUUUGUCGCGUCUGCUGUGAAAUCCCGAGGCUCAACCUCGGGCCUGCAGUGGGUACGGGCAGACUAGAGUGCGGUAGGGGAGAUUGGAAUUCCUGGUGUAGCGGUGGAAUGCGCAGAUAUCAGGAGGAACACCGAUGGCGAANGCAGAUCUCUGGGCCGUAACUGACGCUGA